GAUGAAGAACGCAGUGAAAUGCGAUACGUAAUGUGAAUUGCAGAAUUCAGUGAAUCAUCGAAUCUUUGAACGCACAUUGCGCCCGCCAGUAUUCUGGCGGGCAUGCCUGUUCGAGCGUCAUUUCAACCAUCAAGCCCCAGGCUUGUGUUGGGGACCUGCGGCUGCCGCAGGCCCUGAAAACCAGUGGCGGGCUCGCUGUCACACCGGGCGUAGUAGAUUUUAUCUCGCUCUGGGCGUGCUGCGGGUUCCGGCCGUUAAAAAACCCUUUUAAACCAAGGUUGACCUCGGAUCAGGUAGGAAUACCCGCUGAACUUAAGCAUAUCAAUAAGCGGAGGA
rnacentral:misc_RNA from 1 species